rnacentral:lncRNA from 1 species
CAUUCAAUUCGAAAAAACACACAGAAGCUAAAUCAAAUUCUGCUAAUGUCUUUCACUGCAAAGAAAAGAAUCAGCCGUACAAUCUUGCUUCUUCUAUGAACCAGCUACAUCAUGUAGACGUGGAGCCAGGCGAGGCUGCAGAGGUGGGAUGGUGAACAUGCUGGGAAUCCAGAAUGUUCCAUCGGACGGCCUUCCUUUGGUUUGCUGUGGACUCCACAAACAAGCGCUGAUCGUCUAGAUGCACUUCACUGCAGAAGCCCUGAAGAGUGGAGGAUGACCUUCAGAGCUGUGUGCAGGGGAGAGCCAUCAGAAUAAAUUAGGCUGGCAGAAGAAGUGAAAAGCUUGUGGCUCACAUUGGACAGGGGGCUGGUGAGGAGGAGAUGCAGGGGGUGAUGCACAAGCACCCGAUGAAGUAUGCAGGCCUCUGGGGGGGCCGGAGAACCACUGAGACCCCUUGAUUGACAAUGAGACUCCUUGAUUGACACUUGAGACCCCCUGACAGCCGCAAUAGCAAAAUGUCACUGGGGGUCCUAAUGUCCAAUAUUCAUUUUUCAAAUUGCAAAACAUGGAUUCACAAACAUAAAUAGGCUCCAGAAAAACAUUAUUGUGGUGCUCGAUCUGAAUCAUUCAUUGAAUCCCAGAAAGGCCUUCUUCCAGUUGCA